rnacentral:rRNA from 1 species
UCCUCCCUCUGGCGGCGUGCUUAACACAUGCAAGUCGAACGGAAAGGCCCUGCUUGCCGGGUGCUCGAGUGGCGAACGGGUGAGUAACACGGGGGUGAUCUGCCCCUUACUUUGGGAUAAGCCUGGGAAACUGGGUCUAAUACUGGAUAGGACCAUGCUGUAGGUGGUGUGGUGGAAAGAUUAGUUUCGGUAAGGGAUGAGCUCGCGGCCUAUCAGCUUGUUGGUGGGGUAAUGGCCUACCAAGGCGUCGACGGGUAGCCGGCCUGAGAGGGUGGACGGCCAGAUUGGGACUGAGAUACGGCCCAGACGCCUACGGGAGGCAGCAGUGGGGAAUAUUGUACAAUGGGCGCAAGCCGGAUGCAGCGACGCCGCGUGGGGGAUGACGGCCUUCGGGUUGUAAACUCCUUUCAGCCAUGACGAAGCCCUUGUGGUGACGGUAGUGGUAGAAGAAGCACCGGCUAACUACGUG